rnacentral:rRNA from 1 species
UGCGAAGGGGGCUAGCGUUGCUCGGAAUCACUGGGCGUAAAGGGUGCGUAGGCGGGUCUUUAAGUCAGGGGUGAAAUCCUGGAGCUCAACUCCAGAACUGCCUUUGAUACUGAGGAUCUUGAGUUCGGGAGAGGUGAGUGGAACUGCGAGUGUAGAGGUGAAAUUCGUAGAUAUUCGCAAGAACACCAGUGGCGAAGGCGGCUCACUGGCCCGAUACUGACGCUGAUGCACGAAAGCGUGGGGAGCAAACAGG